CAAAGGGCCAUGGGGCGUGUGCCACCAUCUAAGGUACUGCACUCAUUCUUCUCAAAAAGGAGAGGUCUGAGCCAAAUCUGUGCCCUCACCCGUGCAGUCCUGUUAAAUCAUCUGCACAGAAGGGGCCCCAUGUAAUAUUUGCACCAACCUUCUCAAUGGGGAAGGUCUUGAGGUUUCAUGCUUGAGGGUCUGAGCUUGUAGGUCUGGUGGUGGAAGCUGGAGCAACAUGGUAAAUAUUUGCACUGCACUGAGAUGAUGCCAACAUCUAAGUCUCUGAACUUGACUGGUUGGCCAAGCACAAAACCCCUUGUGGAUAGGUACCGCUAUCCAAUUCUGGGCUUGCACAGCUCUUUGCUUGGUGGAGCCUGGGACUCCUGAAAUACUGAGAAUUGUGUAAAGAUUAAAUAGAAGUGGCACGGUGUGAACACCGUUUGGGAACAGUUAAUGAUGUGCCCAGCCCAGCCACCAAAGCCAUUGCUGAGAACUGGCAAACCCAGAACUUCAUCUUAAUCCCAGCACCUUGUAUCUUGCAGCCACUCCCUUUGAUGAUUUAAAGAGGUGUAUCUAAUUCUUAGCUGGCCUUCACCGAGAAGGAAUGCAGCACGAUCGCAAUUUUGGUGUGGUAUAAUUACCCUGCCUUUCUUGCCCCAUUACCACUGACACUGCUCUCCUCACGCCUGGGUUUAUAGGCUGACUUGUACAACCUCUCUGGUUUGUUUUGCUUUUUUUAAUGACGUUGGUGAGAAGAUGGGAGGUGUUUGCUGGUUUCGUGGAAGCUUCCUUUGGUUUCUGGGUGGUAUGGCACUGAAGUCCUCAUUCUUGUAAGGCUGAAAGAGCUGAAUAGUAUGAUAAAGGAGAAAGUCUGGCAAUAAGUUUGAUUCAGUGUCUGGAGCCAAGCGCAAAAUGGUUCGGAGGAGUUUCUCCUUUCAGAAUUAUUGCAGUGCUCAUAGAGAGCCGUCUUCUUUUCUUAGACCUUGGUUGCUUUGCCACUGCAAAUCAUUGGGCAAAGGUCUAGGAGAGCAGACCCAGCCUCCUGUAAAUUUGCCCUGCACAGGGGCCCAAGGCAGAGGUUUGGUGACGGUAGUGCUGGCGGCGUGUAGGGGUGGGUGGAAGUCAACAUUGGGCUGAAGAACCAAGUCAGAGACGUGGACUUCUCUUGCCAGGUGGCUUCAAAGAACCCCAAGAAGAAGAUUCCCUUGGCACUGUGAACCGAGACUAAAGUGCAAGGUACCACGCACCUGCAGCAAUAUUCACAGUCCUGCCCUCCGACACCCACCCACGGGAAAUAGAGAUGACAGUUAGCAGUACGGACAGUGCAGGGAGGGUGUGUAACAUGCCUGUACGUUUUCACAAGUGAAUGCCGUCGCAUCCUCAUCAAUGGAGGAAGGAACCCAGGACCAGGAGCGGCACCCCCUCUUCCGAAGGCUUUCUGUAGUGUCUGAUGUUUAUACAGAUCAUUUCACAACUUCAAGUUCAAACUUGACAUUUAUUUAAAGUGGCUUCCUUGCGUCUCGUUGCUUCCUGAUUUAUUCUGGUCUGAGUCUUGCCCUAGGGGUUUCAAGACUUACUGUGCACGAGUCUGGUGGGGAACUCAUUUUUCUGGGGCUCUCAGUAACAGAUCGAGUAAACUGGUGUUUAAGGAGAUUGGUCCGAGUGAGUCAUUUGAUCGCACACAACUGCUGCACGCCUGGUGCAGAGCGUGCGUCUAUCAGCAAUAUUUGUCUUGCAGGUUGUUUACUGGAGUCUGCACUGGGAACCAAGGCGCCUUCGAACAACCCUGGUUGAGCUGACACAUCUGCCCAGGCAGGCAACGAGGCCAUUCCUGUGAAGGCAUGGACAGACGGACACUCUACUUUGCAGUGUCCCUGGGUGGCCAAUUGAGUAAGGGUUUCGCUGCCUUUGCACAUCAGCUUCAGGAGCUGUGUUCUCACCAAGGCAUUGUUGCAGUCUGAACUCAUCUUCCCUUUUGGAUCAUGUGAGGGCCCAGAGGCAUUGUUUAUGAGUAGACCUCAAAGACCUAGUAGUACUUCAGUUUUCCAGAUAGGAAAACCAAGGCCCAUUUUCCAAGCAAAAAACUCUGAGCCAGUGGUGUAGAAACUGGGUCUCCUACCUCUCACAUGCCAUCUCUCCAAGCACUGGGAAACUGUUUUCAAAAGAACCAAAGACUGUAAAUUACAGGACCUCAGCACAGAGUUUGCAAGUGAAAGUAAGUUUGCUAAACAGAUUUUUUUUCUCCUCCUGUGUGCUAUGAGUGACACUUCUACUAAGCAGAGUGGGUGCGUUCCCUGUGUGUCUGGUUACUCUUGAAGAGAUGUUUUAACUGGAGGAGAAAGCCCUCACUCGUUAGCAAUGACUUCCAUUCUACUGAUUGGCUACUUAAGGUUUUACAACCCCAAGUGCCUUGCUAAUAUUCUUUUCUCAACACUGAGUCUUUUUGCAGGUUACCGAUAUGUUCCUCAGACUUGCAAGGCUUUACAGACUGUUUUUCAAUACUAGCUAUUUUGAAAAAAUACACAAAUUGUAGAAUCACAGAAUCAUCAUCACAAAUGGUGGUGGAGAAGGGACAACUGCUUGAAGGCCCCUCUUCUUCACACUUUACCAGGAGAAUAUCCUUCUACUGGGCUAUGUACUCAUGGUGCCACAUCUUUUCUGAUUCAUGUACUUUGCAUUCCUUGCUGCCCAGUGGCCUGGUGUCAAGAUGAGUUGGGGAAUACUUCUCUCUCUCCAGCCAAUGUGGGUGCUUUGAAAGGAGACGCUGUCUUGAUCUCUGUUAGGCUGAAGAUGGCACUUCCAUGUCUCCUUUGCCUUUGAUGUGUGUCCUUGUCCCCUUGGCUGAUGCACCAAACCAAAUAUUUUGAGUGACUGCUUCUGCCAGUGUCUCAUAUUGGAGGUGUAGGUGGGUAGAUGGGGUUUGGGAAUUCCACUUCUGGAGCCAGGCACCUUGAAGGGACGUGUGGGAGUUGCUGUUACCACACCUGAGCCCUUUGCCAAUCUGGGGCCUGAGCGUCAAAGGCCCCCGGUUCAAAUUUAUUGUCACCAUUGCUAUACCAAUGCAGAAAUAGCAGCUGUAAGGGGUCAAGUGAAUCAGUCAGACUCAUCUCAAGAUAUCUCAUCUCAUCUGUCCAGCUCAGGCACCAACAGGUCGAUAGUGGAGACUCCCUUCGUAAAGGUAGAGAUUGCUACAAAGUCAAGAAUCUCGGAUACCAACAGAAUGCACAAUAUAACCAGCAACACAGAAGGCUUCUGCCCCGAAGACAUUUUCCUGUAAACAGAUGGCAAGCAGAAAAUGUGCCAGGAAAGCCAGAAAAACUCUGCCUUGACACACUUGCAAUGUGGUUUCCGGGAAAACAGAGCCUUAAAACUGAUAGGCAUUUUCUGUCACCACCUGAAUAAAGCUUAGAACUGUGGGAUAGUUAAGAUCAAGUGCUUUAAUCCAUUGGUUACCUUCUCAGGCUAUUCAUCUAUUUUGGAAAGCUUACUAGUUCAAGACUUCAAAAUCACUGUAUACGAAUGAGGAGCAAAUAUGACAUGCUGUGAUCUUUUGCACACAGAGGAGAUUGAGGUCUUGAUAAGAAGCAGGGGUGGGAAAGGAGAUGUUCGUGUCCUUGCUGCUGUUCCGCAGCAGGUUUUUUGUUUUUCCUUUCUUCAAUCUGCCUCACA